UUCCAAACUAUCCCUCCUCCUUGCUCUCCUUCCUCUCCAAGAAACCAUGUCUCUUAGCCCAUUGAUGCUCAGGUCACUGGUGAGGCUACUAACAUCACUGGUUCGUGAUCCGGCAGCUUCGGUCACAACGCUCCUCUACUACAGUGAGCUUCUACCUCAGAAUAUCGUGCUAGAGAGAUUAGUUCGGCACGAAUUGCUUGACCGAGAAAACUAUUUGUUCCACUUCCUGGUCAACUUCCUGAGAUGUUUUUGGUAAGAACAGCAGCUAUAGACGACUCGGUGAUUCCAGUACAGGAGCCGGCAUUUUUAUUGUAAUUGCAUACCAUUAGACAUUGGUUAGUUCUGAGAGUAUUUUGAGUACUGUUACUGACUUCAACAUUUUAAAUCAAAUGCGUUCUCACUCUUGUAAUGUUGGUGAGAUAUGCUUUUUGGACAUUUCUUGUGUAAUUGCAAACAAAUCGGAGUAAAUGGUCGGCCGUAUUGGCCGGAUAUACC